UACGUAGGGUGCAAGCGUUGUCCGGAAUUAUUGGGCGUAAAGAGCUCGUAGGCGGUUUGUCGCGUCUGCUGUGAAAACUCGGGGCUUAACCCCGGGCCUGCAGUGGGUACGGGCAGACUAGAGUGCGGUAGGGGAGACUGGAAUUCCUGGUGUAGCGGUGAAAUGCGCAGAUAUCAGGAGGAGCACCGGUGGCGAAGGCGGGUCUCUGGGCCGUAACUGACGCUGAGGAGCGAAAGCGUGGGGAGCGAACAGG
rnacentral:rRNA from 1 species